GGAUGAACGCUAGCUACAGGCUUAACACAUGCAAGUCGAGGGGCAGCAUGGUCUUAGCUUGCUAAGGCCGAUGGCGACCGGCGCACGGGUGAGUAACACGUAUCCAACCUGCCGUCUACUCUUGGACAGCCUUCUGAAAGGAAGAUUAAUACAAGAUGGCAUCAUGAGUCCACAUGUUCACAUGAUUAAAGGUAUUCCGGUAGACGAUGGGGAUGCGUUCCAUUAGAUAGUAGGCGGGGUAACGGCCCACCUAGUCUUCGAUGGAUAGGGGUUCUGAGAGGAAGGUCCCCCACAUUGGAACUGAGACACGGUCCAAACUCCUACGGGAGGCAGCAGUGAGGAAUAUUGGUCAAUGGGCGAGAGCCUGAACCAGCCAAGUAGCGUGAAGGAUGACUGCCCUAUGGGUUGUAAACUUCUUUUAUAAAGGAAUAAAGUCGGGUACGGAUACCCGUUUGCAUGUACUUUAUGAAUAAGGAUCGGCUAACUCCGUGCCAGCAGCCGCGGUAAUACGGAGGAUCCGAGCGUUAUCCGGAUUUAUUGGGUUUAAAGGGAGCGUAGAUGGAUGUUUAAGUCAGUUGUGAAAGUUUGCGGCUCAACCGUAAAAUUGCAGUUGAUACUGGAUAUCUUGAGUGCAGUUGAGGCAGGCGGAAUUCGUGGUGUAGCGGUGAAAUGCUUAGAUAUCACGAAGAACUCCGAUUGCGAAGGCAGCCUGCUAAGCUGCAACUGACAUUGAGGCUCGAAAGUGUGGGUAUCAAACAGGAUUAGAUACCCUGGUAGUCCACACGGUAAACGAUGAAUACUCGCUGUUUGCGAUAUACAGCAAGCGGCCAAGCGAAAGCGUUAAGUAUUCCACCUGGGGAGUACGCCGGCAACGGUGAAACUCAAAGGAAUUGACGGGGGCCCGCACAAGCGGAGGAACAUGUGGUUUAAUUCGAUGAUACGCGAGGAACCUUACCCGGGCUUAAAUUGCAGAUGAAUUACGGUGAAAGCCGUAAGCCGCAAGGCAUCUGUGAAGGUGCUGCAUGGUUGUCGUCAGCUCGUGCCGUGAGGUGUCGGCUUAAGUGCCAUAACGAGCGCAACCCUUGUUGUCAGUUACUAACAGGUUCCGCUGAGGACUCUGACAAGACUGCCAUCGUAAGAUGUGGGGAAGGUGGGGAUGACGUCAAAUCAGCACGGCCCUUACGUCCGGGGCUACACACGUGUUACAAUGGGGGGUACAGAGGGCCGCUACCACGCGAGUGGAUGCCAAUCCCAAAAACCUCUCUCAGUUCGGACUGGAGUCUGCAACCCGACUCCACGAAGCUGGAUUCGCUAGUAAUCGCGCAUCAGCCACGGCGCGGUGAAUACGUUCCCGGGCCUUGUACACACCGCCCGUCAAGCCAUGGGAGCCGGGGGUACCUGAAGUGCGUAACCGCGAGGAGCGCCCUAGGGUAAAACUGGUG
rnacentral:rRNA from 1 species